UCUACCACAGAGCUUGUGGUGGUCAGUGGUGUGCCUGAGCCAGCUCAGGGAGGGUUGGAGUCUGGCUUGAGGAUUCUUCUGAAGCAGUUGACUAGCUGGCUUUUAUUGCAAGACAGAGAACACAAGAUCUCUUCAUCGAUCCUGCAAGGUGGCUGUAGUAUUUUGCCUUGAAAGACUGGAAGUUCCCUCCAUGAGAACCUGGGAGGACAAGGAUGGCCUCCUGUGCUGUUCUGCAGAGAGGAGCAGCCUUCGAUGGUGAGCAAAGAAGCAGUAGCGCAGCCCCCUCUCGGGAGCAGCACCUGGCUCUAGAAUGCUGCCAUGAAUGUCUUCAACUCGCUGCAUUGUAUGUAUUGAAGAGAUUGGAUAUGCUGCACUUGUUGAUCAUCCAUGAUGGACACAACAGCCUCUAUUUGUGUCCUGGAAGGGGCAGAGAGAAGAACUGGCACAGGCCCAGCCCUGGCAGCAGCACGAUCAUCUAGAAUGCCAGAAACCAGCUCUGCUCCUCCCUGCCACUGGAGCAGGCUUUGAAGGGGUUGAAAGAAGCAAGACCACGGUGCCUCCCUCAGCAGCACUCUCUCUGGCAGUCAGCUCCUGGUGUUCUGCAGGGCAGCCUUGGAAGUGAUAGGAAGAAUUCGUGUGGUCCAUGAUGAAGGAAAACCAGGUUCUGGCUGGUCCAGGCCUGUGCAUGUCGAUAGUUGGCAAUAAAUGUAAGUGCUGUUAUGAAUGUAACAACCAUUUUUGGGUUAUGCCUUUUGCACACAGUUAGUAUGCUGCUGUAUCGAGUGAGAUGGUGAACUAGUUCUCUGAAUGGCCACUGAUGCCAAACACAAAUUAUCACUUGUGUUUCUGGGUUGAGGGACACUUCACACCAUCACAGCCCGAUCUGCCAGCUGAUAGGCUAAGUGUCUGGUUGUUUCCGGCUGGUGGACUGCAUGGAGCCUCGGCCUACUUGUCAGUCUUGGGGAACACCACAGAGUGACGAUAGGUGGAAAUCAAAGUGUCCAGGGACAGACUCUCCAGUUGGAUUUGUGUGCCAAUGCUAUGGCACUUGAUCUACCCAGUACAUGCAGAAGUGGAGCCAGAUGAUUUAGUUUCCUAGCACUGGAAGCUUUGAUCCUAAGAUGCUGUUGCACCUCAGGAGCUAUCUGCACCUGAAUCGCCCAAGACAAAUGGAUGUAUGGUACCUGUCGGAUGAGGAGGCGGGCAGCGGUGAAGGGGGUGAUCAGGAUGGCAACCGCACUUGCUACGCCACAGCUCUUGGUGACUCUGCUUCUCUCUGCACAGGCCCUGCCCUCUUUGCCCACGCUGGUGCACUCUUUUCCUUCUGUCAUGGGGCUGCAGCUGGCCAGGGAAUUGGUAGCAAAGGUUUGCCUCUCCCCGCCAGAUUUGUUGGAUGGGUGGCACGUUGUCCUCACCACCACCACCACCACCACAAACCAAUAAAUCCUAACCUGCAACUUCAGCCUGUUCAGUCUAGGCAGCUUGUUCAGCCAGCCCCUUGGACUCCCUCAGCCAGGAGUGAAGCAUAAGGCCACCCUGCUGCCAUCUGCCUUGACCCUCAUGCUGGGUCUCCCCCUCUUUGACUUUGAAGACUCCCUCUGAAGAAUAUUGCUCCAAGCUCAUAUUUUUCCUCAAAGAAAAAUCUGUGUCUUCCAAAGCGAGACACUCUUUCUUAGUGAAAAAACUGCUCCGGCCCCUCUCUUUGGAUCCGGGAGCCCAGCUCUGUAAUUGGAUACCAGCGCAUACCAAGAAAAAACUCAGCCAGUCAGAACAACUGGG